UGAGGUUCUAUCAAGGAAUCUGAUGUUCAGGGGGAUGAGGUUCUAUCAGGGAAUCUGAUGUUCAGGGGGAUGAGGUUCUAUCAAGGAAUCUGAUGUUCAGGGGGAUGAGGUUCUAUCAGGGAAUCUGGUGUUCAGGGGGAUGAGGUUCUAUCAGGGAAUCUGGUGUUCUGGGGGAUGAGGUUCUAUCAGGGAAUCUGGUGUUCAGGGGGAUGAGGUUCUAUCAGGGAAUCUGAUGUUCAGGGGGAUGAGGUUCAGGGGAUCUGAUUGAGGGAGAUUCAUGCAGAGGUAGGGGAUUAUUGGAAAGGGAGAGUGGGGGGUUUACAGAAUAGUAAAUGGAAGUGGUGCAUUGUUAGUAUUACAAAGUAUAACAGAAUGAUCUGUAGAUAAAUGUUGAUUAUAAAACAGGUGUAAACAACUAUAUUUUCAUAUGUAAAUUGCAAAUUUAAACAUAAAAAAAUCUAUCAUAAUCCAGUUAUUUGGGAGGGGGGAUUUGUUAUGAGAUGAUGUAUUGUUAUUUAGAUUGAUAGUAAUCUUUGUGGGAGGGAGAAAACGAAAUGGCGAAGUGACAAUGUAAAUUGUUGGAUGUUAACCUUGUAUAUUGGUAUGUGAUAUUGUAGUCAGUUAUUAUUUGAAUUUGUACUGUAUAUAAAGAUGUCUAUUAUUGUUUAAGUCGGUAGUUUAUAACCUGUUACGAUUAGUAAAUUAAGCAGAUCAUAUCACUAUAGAGAAUGUUUCAUUGAUGCUUGGCUUGUGGGUGUUUGCUGACAUUCCUCACAGACUAAAUACUUUAAAAAAUUGUUACUACAUCUAUGGUGUAAAUUCCACACAUCAGCUUUUAUGUGCAAUAAUAAAACAGUAUUCUUCUGAUAACCUUGAAAUUGUAUUGACCCUGUUCGUUGUGUAACUAUUAAAGCCAGCAAUGAAUAUGUUAAUAUUACCACUAACUUAGCACUAAGUAAGUUGUAGUUCAUAUAACAAGACCUCGGAGAGGGGAUGUCACUUCGGAUGAAUAUUUCAUUGUUAGUAUGUUUUGAAAUGGUUACAAGUUGCAGAGGAAGAAAGUAUAUUAGUGUUGUUUCAGUGCCCCUGGAUAAGCUAUAACUGAAACAAUAUAGAUACAAUCAAUAAACCACUGUAAUAAACCUGUCAAAUGUAGGUACUCAAGUCUGGUUCUUGUGUAUACCCCAUUGUUAUUCCUUUUCAUAGGACAUGAAACCCAGAACUCUUACCUGAUAUUUCGACCACAUUCCGUAAUCAGUUCCAUUUAGUAAAAAGAAAAAGAAAAAAAGUUCAACACUUGGUUGAAAUGUUUGUUCUCAAAUGGUUGUGACAAACAAAAUAUGAAGAUGUAAUGAACGUAAAAUAAAUCUUCUCAUUCCAGUUCAUGUCUUGCAUACUUUUAGUAAGCAAAAUGUAUGAUCCAAGGUAAUGACAUUUUUAUGGAUGGUGCUAAACACUUGAUUAUUUCCUGUACUCCUAUAUACUACUGUAUGUCAAAGUCUUGUCAAUUUGUUUUCUAAUUUUUACUUUCAAUGACUAGAUUUAUGCCAAACAAUUUUGUUAGCCAGAUGUUCAGUGGAACAAGAAAUAUGGCUGUUUUUGCAUAAUAUUGUGAAUUCAGUUGCAUAAUUGUGUCUGUUUUGGGAUGUUUUCUGUCUUACGAAUACAUACAUGUACAUGUAGAUAUAAAUGAAUUCUUUAAUUUUGCCUGCCCCAUUUUGGUGUUUCUUUUAAAUUCAAUGUAUUUGGGUAUUAAGCAUCAUUUCAGGAUGUUACAUUUCAAUACCAGAUAGAUGGUGGUGUAGCAGAUAUACCAUUAUUUAUAUUUAUACUAAAUCUUUUAAACUUCAACUUUGUCCUUGGUAACCAAAUGGUGACGUGAUGCAAGUAAUGCUCUCAAGGCCUUCAAAGGAUGUUUUAUUUUAGGUUAGGUGGAUUCAAUUUUAAACAUUUUAGCCUGAGGGAUCGCUACACAAAACUGGUGUAAGUGGUAUAGACAAGUAAAAUAAAUCGGGCCGAAUCAUUUGAAGGUUAUUCUGUUGGAAUAAUUUUCCCUUGGCCAGAUAUUAAAUCAAAAUGAAAGAUGUGAGCUCCUGGUUCAUAAAAAUACAUAGUUAAACAGGAAAGCUGGAGAUUUAGAUGAUAAUUCUAAAGUACAGCUGGGCAUAUUUUAACUUGACAUGUACUGAAAUAUUCAUGAUUAAACAUAACAUUUUUGACAUUAGGUGAGUGAUACAGGUCCUUUUUCCCUCGUUUAUUUACUAGGCUAAAUCUUCCAUUGCUGCUGUUCACGGUUUUAUUAAUGCAAUGUCACACCUUUUUGUUUUUCUUGCCUGUCAUGUUAUCAGCAUUUAUUUUGUUAAUUUGAAAUCGCCAAAAUAAAACUUGUUUCAUUUUA